GUCUUAAUAGUUUAAUUAUAAAUAUUAAAUUGCAAAUUUAAAGAUAAUAAGAUUUAUUUUAAGAUU
rnacentral:tRNA from 1 species